UACGGAGGGAGCUAGCGUUGUUCGGAAUUACUGGGCGUAAAGCGCACGUAGGCGGCUUUGUAAGUUAGAGGUGAAAGCCUGGAGCUCAACUCCAGAAUUGCCUUUAAGACUGCAUCGCUUGAAUCAUGGAGAGGCGGGUGGAAUUCCGAGUGUAGAGGUGAAAUUUCGUAGAUAUUCGGAAGAACACCAGUGGCGAAGGCGGCCCGCUGGACAUGUAUUGACGUGAGGUGCGAAAGCGUGGGGGAGCAAACAGG
rnacentral:rRNA from 1 species